rnacentral:rRNA from 1 species
AAAAGUCGUAACAAGGUCUCCGUUGGUGAACCAGCGGAGGGAUCAUUAGAGAGUCUAAACAACUCCCAAACCCACUGUGAACAUACCCUACGUUGCCUCGGCAGGCGCCCGGCUCCGCGACCCCUCGGGGCUGCGGGGUGGCCCUGCCGGCGGCCCACGAAACUCUUGUCUAGCACUGAAUUCUGAGCCCGAGAGGGAUAAAAACAAAAUUAGUUAAAACUUUCAACAACGGAUCUCUUGGUUCUGGCAUCGAUGAAGAACGCAGCGAAAUGCGAUAAGUAAUGUGAAUUGCAGAAUUCAGUGAAUCAUCGAAUCUUUGAACGCACAUUGCGCCCGCCAGUAUUCUGGCGGGCAUGCCUGUCCGAGCGUCAUUUCAAACCCUCAAGCCUCGUUGCUUGGUGUUGGGAGCCUACGGCUGUAGCUCCUCAAAGUCAGUGGCGUGGGCUGGCUCGCACCCCAGAUGUAGUAGUUAUUUCUCUCACCUGUGGUCGGGCUAGUCCCCUGCCGUAAAACCCCCCAGACUUUUUAGUGUUUGACCUCGGAUCAGGUAGGGAUACCCGCUGAACUUAAGCAUAUCAAUAAGCGGAGGAAAAGAAACCAACAGGGAUUGCCCUAGUAACGGCGAGUGAAGCGGCAACAGCUCAAAUUUGAAAUCUGGCCCUCGGGUCCGAGUUGUAAUUUGCAGAGGAUGCUUUUGGCGCGGUGCCUUCCGAGUUCCCUGGAAUGGGACGCCUUAGAGGGUGAGAGCCCCGUACGGUUGGACACCAAGCCUCUGUAAAGCUCCUUCGACGAGUCGAGUAGUUUGGGAAUGCUGCUCUAAAUGGGAGGUAAAUUUCUUCUAAAGCUAAAUAUUGGCCAGAGACCGAUAGCGCACAAGUAGAGUGAUCGAAAGAUGAAAAGCACUUUGAAAAGAGGGUUAAAUAGCACGUGAAAUUGUUGAAAGGGAAGCGUUUGCGACCAGACCUCUUCCCGGCGGAUCAUCCGGUGUUCUCACCGGUGCACUUCGCCGGGUCGAGGCCAGCAUCGGUCUCUGUAGGGGGAUAAAAGCUCAGGGAACGUAGCUCCUUCGGGAGUGUUAUAGCCCUCUGCAUAAUGCCCUUACGGGGACCGAGGACCGCGC